GCCUGGAAAGCAGUUCAAAUUUUUGUGUAAUUUUUGCUUCGAUAUUUACUCAUUGAAGGGUGGAAAUCAUUUGAAAAAUUAAUGUUUUCUACUCUUGAUGCUUACCAUUGGUGACUUAUAUUUACGUUGAAUUACUUGUCUAGUUUUUGGAUCUGGAAAAGAAAGACGAAGAAGCCUCUUAGUGAUUUUAUUAAUCACGGUAGAAUUGAAAAAAAAAUAUUUUUAAUUUAUCAAUAAAAUUAUUAUCACCGUCGACAUACUUAAAAUGAUUAGUCAUGGUGUCGAAACAAAAUACACUUUUUGUUAUUAAUAUAAUUGAAUAAAAAUGAGAAAGCAAACACACGAAAAAACAAGCGGAAAAAAGUAUGUUAAUAAACACGAAUUAUACUCACUGAAUUCUUCCAAAACGAAGAUCCCACCAUUCUGAGUAAAGCACUUGCUGAUAUGAUCUAGUCUUACAAAGAACUGCAAAUAACCCAAUCGUGUCCCAUUAGUUGCGAAAAACAAAGAAAUUAAUCAAGUGCUUAAAGUGUAUUCAUGCCCUAAAUUUUGUUUCGGGAAUAUCAUUGAUAUAUGAUAUUGGCUAUCAACAAUGUGUAUUGCAAGGAUUCAAUUCGGUGUUUGAAGCUCAGUUACAAUGUUGAUGUUUUUUCAAACGAAUUAAACUUCAGAACCAUCCAAACGGAGUGUGGAGAAAAUUGUGAAAUGAAACGUCUUCAGUGAUUGUUCUAUGCAACAAAGCAUUGACGAAUUACAAGUCUUCGAAGUUCAACCAAUUGAUAGUCCGCUUUGGCUCGGUGGGCGGAGCGAAUGCGCACGGCUCUGAUCAGACUUCCGAAUGGUUCAACUUCGGAGGUUAUAAUAACUGAUGAAUAUUUUGUGGUAGAGAAAAGCGAUCAAGAACUUUCGUCUCAAUAUUUCAAGCUGAAUCCAAUUGCGCACUUCAGACCUUCGAUUCCAUGUUUCUCAGAGUACGUUUUUUUUAAGCGGAGAGAUAUCUACAGCUUCGGGAAAGCUUUUUCGUGCAGUGGUGCCAACUAGUUGUCAUUAUUAAACGAUCGAUCGAAAAGUCCACGCACGAAGACUGUAAAACGUAAAACAGUAACUUGAAUACUGCUCGUUCAGUUUUAACGCAAAUGAACAUCGAGCUGAUGGAACGACGAGUUACCGAUUCAAAUACAAACAAAAUAAACCGAUAGAAUUUAUCAUUUCGAAGGUAAAUGCCUCGAAGUAUUUUUGUCCGUUCGACAUAUUGAAAAAACAAACAAACUUCACACACCAGAGACACAGCAACUUUUUGAUCGAAAUCACCCGAAUCACGUUAAAGAUAAAACCAUGCAACAAAGGAAUCAAGCGGCUCGUUUACGUGAUUCGUCUAUGGGACAUUUCAUGAAACAUCUAUCACAACUAACACCGAUCAGUGGUAGGUAAAACAGUGAGGGGGAAAAACGUAUUUUUUAAAAAAAGUCGACGUACCUUGCUAUUGGCGAACAGGAGACCAACACCUUCAAUGCAAACCUGGAGAAGUCCACCUUCCCCUGUUCGCAUAUCCUGGACCGGAAACUCGUCACCGAGCUCGACACCCAAGUUCGCAUGACCUCGCGCUGCUGCCUUUUCUAUCGCGUCUCUUAUACAAUAGUAAAGAUCCUUGCACUGAAAAAUCAAGGUUUGAAAAUAAUGUAAAUCAGUUUACCGCUGAAUGCCUGAGAUUCUUUCGAGAGAUUCUCGAAUGGUCACGCAUCUAAUUCCUAUCAUUUUUCUUUUGACAGAAAAAAAUCUCAGAUUUGAAAGAUAUUUCAACUCAACGAAUGUAAAAAAUGAAUUUUUAUUCGCCAAAAUAUAAGCAACCGAAUACGAAGAGUA
rnacentral:misc_RNA from 1 species